rnacentral:rRNA from 1 species
CAGUCGCCGCGGGAAUACGAAUGGGGCUAGCGUUGUUCGGAAUUACUGGGCGUAAAGGGCGCGUAGGCGGCCAUUCAAGUUAGAUGUGAAAGCCCUGGGCUCAACCUAGGAAUUGCAUUUGAUACUGUUUGGCUUGAGUUCGGGAGAGGUGAGUGGAAUUCCCAGUGUAGAGGUGAAAUUCGUAGAUAUUGGGAAGAACACCGGUGGCGAAGGCGGCGACCUGGUCCUUGACUGACGCUGAGGCGCGAAAGCGUGGGGAGCAAACAGGAUUAGAUACCCGCGUAGUCCCUGUCUCUUAUAC